CAGAGGUCCCGAGCGUUGUUCGGAUUCACUGGGCGUAAAGGGUGCGUAGGUGGUGAGGUAAGUCGGAUGUGAAAUCUCCGGGCUCAACCCGGAAAUGGCAUUGGAAACUACCUUGCUAGGAGGAUUUGAGGGGGGAUUGGAAUACUUGGUGUAGCAGUGAAAUGCGUAGAUAUCAAGUGGAACACCAGUGGCGAAGGCGAAUCCCUGGAAAAUACCUGACACUGAGGCACGAAAGCUAGGGGAGCAAACAGGAUUAGAUACCCUGGUAGUCCUAGCCCUAAACGGUGCUUGCUUGCUGUAAGAGGAAUCGACCCCUCUUGUGGCGGAGCUAACGCGUUAAGCAAGCCGCCUGGGAAGUACGGUCGCAAGAUUA
rnacentral:rRNA from 1 species